GCUCCAGUUGCUGGACCUCUGAUAGUUCUUCCAACCUUUGGAAGGUCACCUUAUCUGAUCUGCUUCCAUGUAGUCAUUAACCUAAGAUCUUGAAAGAAUAAAACACAACAGAGAGAGAGAGAAGAAACAAAGGAACCAUGCAUGGGCCACAAGAUCUUUGCUCAUAACAGUAUAACAAAUGCUAGCUGAAAACUCUCUAUGUAGCAAGCAACUAGCCCUUUAAAUACAUCUUCUGGAGAGCAGUGGUUCUGGAAUAGAAUGCAAUGUUAUUUCUAAGAAGAAAAAAGCAAGAAAAUGGGUCCCACAAUAACAAUGCAAGAAGAGAAAAAAAAAUCUGAGAUCAAUUCAACCCCCAAGCAUAAUCAGUGACAAAAGAAGCUAACAAAUCAAGGUAAAGCACAUCAAACCAUUUAAACAUUUAAAUUGAACAAGCUACAAACUUGUUAGUCUUUGUAUAAAAAAUGGACAUUGCAGCUUUCUAAGAAAGAAAACAACUAAAAAUGCCUGAUUUAUGAAUACUUAUUCCUAAGAAGAAAGGACAUAUAUUUUAGAAGAAAUGAAAUUUCAAUAUAGGAUGAGGUCAAGAAAAACAGUCUAUGUAAGAUUCAGAAACUGCCAAUUGAACAGUUCAAAAGCUGUUAAGACUUGAACUCCAACUCUUUUAUUCUUUGCUUUACGUGAAAUAGAAUAUCUGUAUGUCUGUCUUCUGUUUUCAUGCAAAAACAAAAAAAAAGAGGGAGUGUGGGGGAACAAGGCAGCAUACAUGUCUGUUAAUCAAUUUAGCUCUGUACAAUUUAUAACAUUUAGAAGACUUUUAAAAAAAAUAGAAACAUAAUACAAGAAAUUUGACUGUCAUGUGUUAUAAACAAUUUAUAGCUGCUUCCUUAGGUAUGUAUAGUGUAAUUGCUGUGGAAAUUUUUUUUUAAUUGCUGUUACAUAUCAGGAGGAAAGACAAUGUUCAUUCAUUAGUCUUUUUUGAGGGGGAGGGAAGAAAGGACAACAAAACUUGGAAAUCAGCAAGAUUCUGAAUAUUGCUAGUAUAAUAAUAAAAUUUGGGAGGUUAAUGUCAUUUAAUUAUCGGUAUUUUUAAAAAAAUCCACACAUAUGUAUAUACAUACACACACACACACAUAUGUGUGUGUUACAAAUACCAUUCUGUAGAAGAUAACAAGGUGGUGGUGGUAGUGGGUUUUUUCUGGAGUUGUAAUGUUACUUUGUAUCAAUCUGUAUUUCUAGCCUUUAAUUUUUUUGCCAUACUCAUCUUUGUUACUAAAAUAAAGGUCUUAUUUGUUAAAUAGCAGGAAAGCCUCCUCAAUCUCUGCUAGAAUAUACUACAUAGUAUAUAGCACAUUUGAAUAAUGCCAGUCUCUGUAGGGCUUGAUAUUGGGCUAUGAAUAUUUGACCUAGAAUGCCAUUAGCUUAACUUAUACAUUUUAAAAUCACGUAUUGAAAUGCUGCAAAACUAAGAUUGUAGUGAAUUUAAUUUCAAAGCCACACUGGCGGUCCUUUUAUACUGUAUGUGGUAAUCCUUGAUUUCUUGCACUGAUGCUAAAUGUUAAUGAACAGAGCCACAGUAUACCAUUUCACCUGGAGCAAUGAAAACAUUAAAAUCUCUUCAGAAGCCUGAAUAAAACUUUAUUUUAUAAAUAUAAUCCACAGUGAAGCUCUACCAUUUCACUGUACUUUUUUGAAAUAAGGGCACAUGGAAAAUAUGGAAGAGUUUCCUUUGAGAUCGCUAACUAAAGCUACAAAAUGAGCCCGGUACGGCAUUUCCAAGGAACGCGGUUCAAAAGUUGUACGAUUACUACUAAGGUUGUUUUAUUCUCUCCCACAUUUGGAACAGGAAGUCUGUGUUGUUCUUGAAGAAUUCUGAAAAGCAAUGUCACAGUCUGAUGACCUCUUCUCCUCAUUAAAACGUUCCCAAAGACA